rnacentral:lncRNA from 1 species
ACAAUAUUGUCUCCAUGCAUGAUAUAAUAACAGUUAACCGAACAAAAACAUGGAAGAAAAAAGAAUUGAAGUAUAAACAUAAGAAAGAUGCGAAGGUCGAAGGUUAUAAUGGUUAGGCAAAAGUGAGAGCUGAUUGGCAGAAUCAUAAAAGAUAACGGUAAAGAAGGGAUGGCGAAGAGAAAAGAAAAAGAGGGCAUCGAAUGGUUGGAAGAAAAAGAAGUGGGGGUAGAAUGGUGGACACAGAGGGGUAGAGUCAAUCUUUACUUUACUCAAUCUCGGGAAUAUGCGACAAGCAAGGUUCGAAGAUGUUACGAUAUUCUACCCUUAAAGACGAAGGGUGCCUCUCAAACAGUUUAACGUAAAGAAAAAUUGCCAUGAUCUUCAACAAAAUUUUUUAUGAAGCCGAUACAACGAACAAACUACAACACUUUGGUAUUUCAUAAAUGAUGACACCCGAAAGAAGAAAGGAUUCGUAUGAAGGAAGAAAGCACAUGAAAGCGCAACGGAAUGGAAGCGGAGACCCGGCCACUGCGGCAAAACUGCGGAGCGGCGGCUCGGGUUUAUUCAUGCUCGCAAAAUAUUUCGUGCGAGCCCAGCGCCUGCGGUUUUCCCUGGAUUAUGCAGCGAGGACACUGUACCGACUAAAACUGUCCGGCUAUCAAAACUUGCCUCUCAACGCCGUGUUUCGACACUAACGCACUUGGCACCUACUUGAUCGGAUCCAUUUGUACGCGGAACGAUUGACGAGAAUAUUUGUUACGAGUGCACGGUCUACAAAGGAAGAGAAGAAUGAAAAAGAAGACAAAGAAAAGUAAAAUAAAGAAGAAUACAAUUUGGAAUUUCCAUCACGUCAGCUUCGCACGAACAAAGCCUCCCGUUCGAUUAAGGUCUUUCACCAAACAUCGUUAGCUCAAUGACGCGUCUGUUUUUAACUCUCUACCUUCUGAAUCACGGUAUUAAUUUUGAAACUUAAAGACAUUAUCGUUACCAAUUUUUUAACUCACAUUUGAAAUAGUGAUGUAGUAAAAUGAAUAUUGCGAUAGUGCUUCAGACAGUUAUAAUUUGUAAUAUCUUGAUAUUAUAAAUGUGGAAUAUUGAAGCUACUGAAUUUACGAAAGUAUGAUAAUCAAAGUCGAAGCGCUCGACUUCAAAACGAAGCGCAAAGGUGUGUACAAAAAUUAUAAGUGCUCUAUCGUCUAUUCUACCAAUGCAAAUUGAAUAGCUUAUUGAUGUAAUAUACCUAAGUUAUUCUGGUACGCCAGAUUCUAGAGUGCAGUUUAGAUAACAUUGAUAUAGUAAAUGAUGGAGUAGAAUUUAGGUUAGACAGAUGCAGCAAACGAUAAAAUAUAAUUUAGAUCCGAAAUAACAUUGCUAAGUGACACUACCGUUAACAGAAAAUGUCUAUUUUCUUAUCGUUCAUGUUACUGAUAAAGAAUCGAAGCGUAGAGCGCAUCGACAGAGCAUAACUUCGGUUACAUAGAGCAUAACCUAGAUUACAUUAGUGGAGUAAGUGAUAGAGGUAGAAUAUGUAUAACCUAGAUUGAAUUAGUAUAGGAAGGGGCAGAGCAUACCUUGUGUACCGGUAGAGUAUACUAGCGCUAGUAGAAACAAUCCACUUACCGCACUCGUCUAAACUACGAACAACUUGAUAGAGCACUAAAACUAACAAAACUGGUACAGGGGGUGUAUAGGCAAACUACUAUCGCAGUAUACUCCACUAGCGUAAACUAGGUUUUAUUGUCGUGUCGCUAACAAAUAAAACUAAAAACGCCCCCUCCAUUUCCUUUCUUCUCCUCAACGUACUACCAUUAAAUGACAAGCAGACAAAUCAGAGAUCAAAGUUACUGAAUGAAGAAAACAACCCUCAACUGAAUAAAUAGCGAUGCAGAAGUUCCUUCGAGCAAAUAUUUGCUGUUGUAAAAUCGUUCCGUGUUCACAGCUUUAUAAUUACAGUUUACACGCGGUGCGUUAACAAAAUGGCACCGACAUCAAA